CAGAGAAAAACCUUCCCUGAUCUUGCUCUUCUGCCUAUCUAUCUCCUGCUUUUGUGUGCUCUCCUACUUGUAAUCUUUCCUGUUAAUUUCUGGAAACGAGGAGGAAGGUGCACCCAAAGUAUAUAUAUAUAUAUAUAUAUUCUUCCAUGCUCUUUAAUAUCUUUUGUAUCUACUGAGCAGGGAAACGAGGAGGAAGGUGCACCCGGCCCUACUUUGAUUGACUAACCGGUCUUUAAUAUCUUUUGCAUCUACUGAGAAGGGAAACGAGGAGGAAGGUGCACCCGGCCCUACUUUGAUUGACUGACCGGCGAGUGAAAGGAGAAGGAGAAGAGUAGGAUUUGUUCACGGGUUUGUAACUGUCCAAAGAGUAGGAAUUGUUCAAAAUUAGGUGGCCUCUUUCUCAGGUCGUUUCAUGGUACGUACAUACAUAUUGGAUUUUAUAAAUUUACUAGUAUAUAUAUAUUUUUCACAUCAUUUGAAAUCGAUUUUAAAUGAUGUGAUAGUAUGUACUUAGUUAAUCAAACUGAACCAAAUUUGAACUGUAAAAUAGCCUUUCUACGAGGAUCUAUUCCGAUUGAGUUCAAGCCUUCAUAGUCAAUGAAAGUAUUUCUGCUUGGAAGUUUUCA